AGCGGGUUGCCCGGGUAACGAAGGUUGACAUCAGAGGGUCCCCCCCCACCCCCUUCCCCGGCGGAGGACCUCGUUGCUUCACGCUGUGAUUGUAUAUCCUCGCGCCGGGACUACUUUCUGCAGGCACUAUUUUUUUGUGGACAAUCAAAUAGAGCACUUUCCCCUUCCUUCUUUCCUCUGUGAGGAAAACCCCAGAGUAAGACUUCAGGCCCGCGGCGAGGGACGAGGAGGAGGGGUCGGGAGUGUGUCCGUCACCGUCAUGUCGUCAUGAGAGUGAAAGAUAUAGAAAAAGAAGAAGAAGAACUCUUUAAUUUUUGCUUUCUAGUUUCCUGGUCUCCCCGCCCAGUGAUUGGACGGUCUCGCCUCCCCCCUGGUUUCUGUUUCUUGUUCUUCUUUUGUGCGUUCUCUUGUUUGGACCAAAGGUUUGUUUUGUACUUUCCUUCUUUCUUUUGUUUCCGAGUGAUGUGAUGUAGUGAGCUGUGAUUGGACGAGAGAUGGCCGACCCAUGCAGUGAAAGAUGCACUAGUGAUGGAUGUUAAUGUACAGACAGAUGUAUAAUGUGAAUCUCGCACGCCCCACUAAACCGAUGUUGAUGUCACGUUUCUGGUUGAAGCUUGCUGAGGAGGCUCAGUCCGGCCAGUCUUAUGCAUCCAGGGACCAUUUUCUACAGCGCUUUGAUUCUCUCAGUUGAUUUUGGGUUGUUUUGCUUUUAACAGCAUGUUGUGUGUUUUAUAUCUUUGAACAGGGCAGCACUCUCUCUCUCUCCCCCCCCCCCCAAAGCAUUCAACCCUGAGUACAGACGGCUGUCUGUAGCACACCGUAACACGCUUUGAGAAACGCUGGCUUUAAAAAACAGAGGGACCAAUGUGAUGACUGCUGUCAUGACGACCUCAACGGCUGGCCAAUCAGCUCUGAGAUUGGCUCUGACCACAUCCUGUGGUUCUGGUGGUCCAAGUGAGGACAGCCCUGUUUAAACGUAUCUACACCCUAUUUGUUGUUUUCUAUUCUCAGUGUUUCUUUUCUUUCUUUAAUGGGUUACUACUUGUAGUUUCUAACUUGAGUGAUGCUUUUCUCUCUGUUUCCUGCCCUCAGGUGUUUCUGUAUAGAAUUAUAAAACAGUCCUAAUUUUAAGUCUAGUUAUUGCUGAUAUUCAUUAUUGCUAUUAGUUAUUCUUACCCGUCUAAUUUGAUUCUUCUUUCAAUGUUGGAUAUUUUCAAAUACUGAUAUAAAAGAACUGUGCAACUUUGUACAUUUAAACCAAC
ensembl:lncRNA